CUGCUAUUUAGUGUGAGUAGUUGACUGCACAUUGUACUCACAGUUUAGUUUAGAAUUAAUGUCCUCACUAAUUCUUCUUUUUGAAACACUUUGAACACUAAACUGGAUAAACUUAACAAUACAACUGACGUAGCUACCAGAGUUGUAGUUAAAACCAAAAGUCAACAGAAUUUGUGUGGACGUCUAAAGUGCUCCUAGUUGUCAACACUUACCUACCGUGGGACUAAAUAUUUCAUCUUUUGUCUUCUUCUAGUUCUCCAGGUUUCACCAUGAAUGCCCUAGUGUUGACACUUUUCUUGUGUGCCGUCCUUGGAAUAUCCACAUCCUACUGGUUAA
rnacentral:sRNA from 1 species